rnacentral:rRNA from 1 species
ACGGAAGGCAGCAGUAGGGACUAUUGGUCAAUGGGGGAAACCCUGAACCAGCGACGCCGCGUGAGUGAAGAAGUAUUUCGGUAUGUAAAGCUCUAUCAGCAGGGACGAUAAUGACGGUACCUGACUAAGAAGCCCCGGCUAACUACGUGCCAGCAGCCGCGGUAAUACGUAGGGGGCAAGCGUUAUCCGGAUUUACUGGGUGUAAAGGGAGCGUAGGUGGCCAUGCAAGUCAGAUGUGAAAUCCCGGGGCUCAACCCCGGAGCUGCAUUUGAAACUGCGUAGCUAGAGUGCAGGAGAGGUAAGCGGAAUUCCUAGUGUAGCGGUGAAAUGCGUGGAUAUUAGGAGGAACACCAGUGGCGAAAGCGGCCUGCUGGACUGCAACUGACACUGAGGCUCGAAAGCGUGGGGAGCAAACAGGAUUAGAUACCCUGGUA